CAAAGGCUGCUAUAGGGGUCUCUGUGGGGUGCAUUUUAAGGAGAAAAGGGGAGUCCGUGCUAGGAUGAGUUGCUAAGCCCUGAUUGGACAGGUUAGCCAGUGUAGCCAAAUAAUGAGUUUUGAUUGGUGGACCUUGGUGUUUAGUCUCAAGAAUGAGCCAGUGGCCAAAUAAGAGAAUGGACCCUGGGGGCCAGCUUUACAAACGUAAUCUAAUGCUUUAGUGAGGGAGAGGGAAUGGAAAGGAGCAAAACCUACUAGCGCCAUGUUUGCUGUGUUUGGACCUGUUAGACAGAGGACCGAGGUUCUGUUCCCAGGGCCUGUACUGUACCCUACCACCAUCCCUAAUUCCAAUCCCUGGGGAUACAAUGCCCUCUUACGACCUCCAUGGCUACCAGAUACACACCGGGUAUUCAGACAUAUAUACGACCAAUACACGCAUAGACAUAAAUCAUUAAAACACUGAGACAAAGUCCAAAUGUGUAAAUUCUAAAAUAUUAACGUAGAAAAGAUUAAAAUAAAAAUAAGCAACCAAAUCAAGUGUGGUGUCCUGCCUAUAGCAGCGUUUGCUUGUACUACAGAAGGCCCUCUUUCUCCUUCCUCUGCGUUUGUUUCCAGAUGUCACAGGUGGGGAAGUGGCCUGAUCACAAACCUGUGCCCUCCCAGUUGAGAAAGAGUUCCGAGACCAGCAUGUUCUUUGUUCUGGAUGUCCCAGAUCCGAUGCAGGCCUGCAGAUCGGAAGUUUCUCUUUGGUGUCUUUCUGCAUGAUGCUCUCUGAGACUAUGGUGUGGAGGACUCACUCACCAGUGUCCCCUGCAGUCAGCCGUGGCAUGCACUUCCUGCGAUCCGGUGCUGCUCCUCCAGGCAAUGAUGCAAAUGGCAAGCAGAUGUCAGGGUGUGGAUUCUCUGGGUCUCAAACACCUCUCUUCUGCUUUUCCGUGCAGCCUCCUGUGGCUCAGUCACCCAUGUUCACCGAGUCCAGCCUCUGGGUUGGCUAUCCUGCAGACUGGCCUGAACCCGUUAAGUUCUCCAGGCAACCAGCAGUCUACAACCCAACUGAAUGGAGGGUAAAGCUGGCUUUAACAGGAUUUUAAACUUAGCCCCAAAAGUAUGUAAUGUUAUGUUUUUAAAAUAAUUCACACCUUUUUAAUACAGGAAGACAUGGAAUCCCGGUCAGUUCCUCGAGAGGAAAGCAAGCAGCAGGUGGCAAUCUUCCCAGAGGGAAAGGAGGCAGAUGUACAGACACAAGAGCUGCUGAGCAGGGUUUUCAAGGAGUCUGGUGACAAUGAUCCCAACCUCCCAGCAAUAGAGAACACUAAGGAUGAACUGGUGUCACUUUUAGCCCCUCUGGAGGAAAACAAACCACAGAUGACAGAAUUUCCAUUAAUUGAAGCUGCCAAGUUCCAGACAGAUGUCCAGCUGGACAGGUGCCCCUGUUUCCUCCUUUCUCUACGUAACAGCCUUUCUGGCACCCUGGACUGAUCACAGUCAGCCCUGCGAUCCGAAGAACUAAACAGACAGGGACAGACUUCAUUUCUAGUUUAUGAGAUGUAAUUAUCAGGACAAAGCUUGAGCAGUUCAUACCUGAACACGGGCACAAAGGGCUGUAUUGAAGAGGACUGAUAUUCCACUUCCUGAUGCACAGCUCUCCUCAUUCGCAAGCUGGUCUCACGUCACGUGGUGCUGAAGGAGUCUGCAUUAGUUUUACUAAUUUUGUAAAAUAGAGGCUCAUGCAUAUUUACGCAACAUUGG
rnacentral:lncRNA from 1 species